GUUGUUUCUGUUGUUGGCUAAAGCUUAACAAUGGUGCAAGAGGACCAGCCUUCUAACUACAACUCCCGGCAUCCCCGCAGGCGGGGUGACGCACUUCCGGCAGCUGUCCCGGCUUGGUUGGGGCUUUGCGCCGCUCGGAGGAACCGGGUUGGAGAGCUGUCAGCCUUCUGGGUCAUUCGGGGUCACCUUUGGCCUUGGCCCUGGGGGACGGGGCUGCGGGGUCAGCCUCAGCUGCUCGUAGGCCGCGGAGGAGACAAUGCUGGUGAGUCCAGUGUAGUGAUUCAGGAGAGACCUGAGAGAUGGUGUGAAGAUAAGAGCUUCCGCUUGGAAGAAGGCACAGCUAACCCGGCUUUCUAGUGAGCUGUGGCUUUGGUGGUCUAUCUCAAAGUGUGCUCUCCACAGUCUCCCUUUCACAAGCUAACAAAGCUCUGUGGUGACAGAAAUGAAACAGUUCCAAAGAUUCUGGACUCAUCUGUGUGGCCUUGAAACCAUCUAUCAUGAAACCAUGACAACAGAUAACUGAAGCUGGCAUGGCAAGAAGCUAAUGGUCAGGGCUGCUCUCAAGGCAUAGGUUGGAGUAAAAGCAGGAGCAGGAAUUGGCCAAGUCCUUAAUAAUAAGGUUGGCACACAACCCACUGAGGACACAGAAAGAGGAUGGAUUGGAUUGGCUCACUCAUCUCUACUUCAGCCUUCUUUCUCAACAUCAUCCACGUCUUCAGUGUAUGAGAGUAAAGUGGGUACCACUUACCUGGCCCAUCUAGCCAAGAAGCACACAUAUUAGGACUAGUGGUGAGCUUUUAUCUUUUUUUUUUCUGAGACUGUGGACAUUUUCUGAUGGACUUGAAUGGAAAUUCACAAAAAGUUGAGCAAUUAACAUCUGGGCUGCCACCAAGGAAUUUUUUUUUUUUGGGUGCAAGAUGGCAUUACAUGAUGCUCACAGAACUGUGGAGAUUCAGCUCCAGAAGAAGGAAGAGGC
rnacentral:lncRNA from 1 species